UCCCAUACCCUAUAAUUUUGUUUGUUCUAUUUCACACAUACAAUUUUCCGAGACAAGAUAUUCUAAUUUAAGCCACAAGAAGAUUCGUCUCUCCCUAUUACUGUAACUGCUGCUUAUAUCGUCAUGUCCCGGAAAGGUCCCUGUCUUCCCUGAAUGGUCUCUACCAAGUUCACCUCCGGUUCUAGGUGUCAUGGCUGCCCCGAGAGUCUAGGUAAGAGUUUGUUCCCGUGGUGCAGAGGGUCAAGGCCCACACCCGGAGACCUAGCGAGGUAAAGUUGCGUCUUGGUUGUAGAGACGACAACUUCUCCGCUUUCUCUGCAAUGGCGGCGUCCGGGAGCGGUAUGGCUCAGAAAACCUGGGAAUUGGCCAACAAUAUGCAGGAAGCUCAGAGUAUCGAUGAAAUCUACAAAUACGACAAGAAACAGCAGCAAGAAAUCCUGGCGGCGAAGCCCUGGACUAAGGAUCACCAUUACUUUAAGUACUGCAAAAUCUCAGCAUUGGCUCUACUGAAGAUGGUGAUGCAUGCCAGAUCAGGAGGCAACUUGGAAGUGAUGGGUCUGAUGCUAGGAAAGGUGGAUGGUGAAACCAUGAUCAUUAUGGACAGCUUUGCUUUGCCUGUGGAGGGCACUGAAACCCGAGUAAAUGCUCAGGCUGCUGCAUAUGAAUACAUGGCUGCAUACAUAGAAAAUGCCAAGCAGGUUGGCCGCCUUGAAAAUGCAAUCGGGUGGUAUCAUAGCCACCCUGGCUAUGGCUGCUGGCUUUCUGGGAUUGAUGUUAGUACUCAGAUGCUCAAUCAGCAGUUCCAGGAACCAUUUGUAGCAGUGGUGAUUGAUCCAACAAGAACAAUAUCUGCGGGGAAAGUGAAUCUUGGCGCCUUUAGGACAUACCCAAAGGGCUACAAACCUCCUGAUGAAGGACCUUCUGAGUACCAGACUAUCCCACUUAAUAAAAUAGAAGAUUUUGGUGUACACUGCAAACAAUAUUAUGCCUUAGAAGUCUCAUAUUUUAAAUCCUCUUUGGAUCGCAAAUUGCUCGAGCUGUUGUGGAAUAAAUACUGGGUGAAUACGUUGAGUUCCUCUAGCUUGCUUACUAGGCAAGUAUACUAAUAGCAGCCAGAAGUGACACCUGAUGGCAAGGGGAGAAAACACUGUAAGACCAGAGCAGUCUGAACCUUUGUAUAAGGCAAGCAGAUCUACCUACUCAGCCCAAUGUCUGUCCCUGUAUUCCAGCACUGCAUAGAUGAGGACAUUAAUAAUCAAGAAAAGAAUGCAGACUAUACCACUGGUCAGGUCUUUGAUUUGUCUGAAAAGUUAGAGCAGUCAGAAGCCCAGCUGGGACGAGGGAGUUUCAUGCUGGGUUUGGAAACGCAUGACAGAAAAUCAGAAGACAAACUUGCCAAAGCUACGAGAGACAGCUGUAAAACUACCAUAGAAGCUAUCCAUGGAUUGAUGUCUCAGGUUAUUAAGGAUAAACUGUUUAAUCAAAUUAACAUCUCUUAGACGGUCUCUGAGAAGUACUUUACCUGAAAGACAGUAUGAGAAAAAUAUUCAAGUAACACUUUAAAACCAGUUACCCAAAAUCUGAUUAGAAGUAUAAGGUGCUCUGAAGUGUCCUAAAUAUUAACAUCCUGUAAUAAAACUCUUUAAAAUGAAA